AUUAUUUUGGCAGAUUAGUGCAUAGGAUUUAGAAUCUUAACAAGUAUUUUAUACAAAUAAUA
rnacentral:tRNA from 2 species